UAACCAGGGGAAGGGUGUUUACCAGUUUGCCGACAAGUAUGGAGCAAACGUUGAUGGGUACAGCCCGAUAUAUACACCAGAAGAAUGGUCUCCAAGUGGUGACGUUUAUGUUGGAGGAAAGACAAGGCUGUUUCUCUGGGCAGUCACUCUUGCUGGAAUUCUGCUGGGCGGUGCUCUUCU